AUUUAAGUAGCUUAAAAGUUUUAAAGCUUAAUAUUGAAGAUAUUAUGAUAAGUACAACUUCUUAAAUA
rnacentral:tRNA from 1 species